rnacentral:rRNA from 1 species
AUGUACAAAAGCCUCAAAGGGCAUCAGACAUUAUGUGAUGUCCUCAAAAAGCAGAUUCUGAGCCGAAACCCUAGAAAAGAGGGUAUUGGGUUCGAGAGGAAAAUGAAUGUUGAUGGGUCGUACUGGAAGCCUGAGCAGUACCCCAAAACCACAUGGGUUGCUGCAAAGGAACCUUCAGUAGAUCCAUCCAUCUUAUCUGGUUUCACUUGCACUAACCCUAUUAUCAUUGAUGAAUCCUUUGAUGCAAACUAUAAACUGUUUAAGGAUCAGAAUGGUGAAGUGUUUGCCAGGUAUAUUGGUACUAACUGCAGGAAUGGACCGCCUAUGAAGAAGAUCUGGGUACCUAAACGGUGUAUUGAGAAUCUUCCUGUGAAUGUCAUCCUGACACCACCAAGGAAGAGGACAAACCUCAGACCUAUGGCUUCAUAUGGCCCAAAGGCUUCAUACAGAUACAGGACUCACCUGAGUCACCCUAACGCCAAUGUUUUGCAGGGAAACCAUACUCAGACUUAUGAAUAUGAGCGUGUGUCUUCAAACCGCUAUGUUCAUAGAACUAAGAACUUUUCUGCUUAUUCAUAUGAGUAUCGUUCUCCUGCUGCAAGACUAUUUGCUAGGACUCCAAAGCCAAAAUUCUCAGAUGCUGCACUUAGACUCAUUGCUUCUAAGCCACCCCUGAAGAUGUGGGUGGUUAAGAAGAAUUAA